rnacentral:rRNA from 1 species
UACGUAGGGUGCAAGCGUUGUUCGGAUUCAUUGGGCGUAAAGGGUGCGUAGGUGGCGCGGUAAGUCGGGUGUGAAAUUUCGGAGCUUAACUCCGAAACUGCAUUCGAUACUGCCGUGCUUGAGGACUGGAGAGGAGACUGGAAUUUACGGUGUAGCAGUGAAAUGCGUAGAGAUCGUAAGGAAGACCAGUGGCGAAGGCGGGUCUCUGGACAGUUCCUGACGCUGAGGCACGAAGGUCAGGGGAGCAAACGGG